rnacentral:rRNA from 1 species
CGAACGCUGGCGGCGUGCUAAUACAUGCAAGUAGAACGCACAGGAUGCACCGUAGUUUACUACACCGUAUUCUGUGAGUUGCGAACGGGUGAGUAACGCGUAGGUAACCUGCCUGGUAGCGGGGGAUAACUAUUGGAAACGAUAGCUAAUACCGCAUAAGAACAUUUACUGCAUGGUAGAUGUUUAAAAGGUGCAAAAGCAUCACUACCAGAUGGACCUGCGUUGUAUUAGCUAGUUGGUGAGGUAACGGCUCACCAAGGCAACGAUACAUAGCCGACCUGAGAGGGUGAUCGGCCACACUGGGACUGAGACACGGCCCAGACUCCUACGGGAGGCAGCAGUAGGGAAUCUUCGGCAAUGGGGGGAACCCUGACCGAGCAACGCCGCGUGAGUGAAGAAGGUUUUCGGAUCGUAAAGCUCUGUUGUUAAGGAAGAACGUGUGUGAGAGUGGAAAGUUCACACAGUGACGGUACUUAACCAGAAAGGGACGGCUAACUACGUGCCAGCAGCCGCGGUAAUACGUAGGUCCCGAGCGUUGUCCGGAUUUAUUGGGCGUAAAGCGAGCGCCAGGCGGUUAGAUAAGUCUGACGUGAAAGGCAGUGGCUCAACCAUUGUAGGCUUUGGAAACUGCUUUACUUGAGUGUCAGAAGGGGAGAGUGGAAUUCCAUGUGUAGCCGGUGAAAUGCGGUAGAUUAUAAUGGAAGGAACACCCGGUGGCGAAAGCGGCUCUCUGGUCUGUAACUGACGCUGAGGCUCGAAGGCGUGGGGAGCGAACAGGAUUAGAUACCCUGGUAGUCCACGCCGUAAACGAUGAGUGCUAGGUGUUAGGUCCUUUCCGGGACUUAGUGCCGCAGCUAACGCAAUAAGCACUCCGCCUGGGAGUACGA